rnacentral:rRNA from 1 species
GAGGAGAUCCAGCCACACUGGAACUGAGACACGGUCCAGACUCCUACGGGAGGCAGCAGUGGGGAAUAUUGCACAAUGGGCGCAAGCCUGAUGCAGCCAUGCCGCGUGUAUGAAGAAGGCCUUCGGGUUGUAAAGUACUUUCAGCGAGGAGGAAGG